AAUAAAUGAAUUUUUAAGUUUUUGGAAAGAAUUUUUGACUCUUCGUUUUAUUUAAAUUUUUUUAUGAUUAAUAUUUUUAUUGAUAUUAUAUGAUAAAAUAUGAAUAGUAUUUUACAUGUGACUAAUUUUUUUAAUUUUUAAUAAAUUUUUUAAAUAAGACGUAUGGUCAAAUGCUUAAUCAAGAAAACUCAG
rnacentral:pre_miRNA from 1 species